rnacentral:rRNA from 1 species
GACGAACGCUGGCGGCGUGCUUAACACAUGCAAGUCGAGCGGUAAGGCCCUUUCGGGGGUACACGAGCGGCGAACGGGUGAGUAACACGUGGGUGACCUGCCCUCAGCUCUGGGAUAAGCCUGGGAAACCGGGUCUAAUACUGGAUAUGACUCCAUGACGCACGUUGUGGGGUGGAAAGCCUUGUGCGGCUGAGGAUGGGCCCGCGGCCUAUCAGCUUGUUGGUGGGGUGAUGGCCUACCAAGGCGACGACGGGUAGCCGGCCUGAGAGGGCGACCGGCCACACUGGGGACUGAGACACGGCCCAGACUCCUACGGGAGGCAGCAGUGGGGAAUCUUGCGCAAUGGGCGAAAGCCUGACGCAGCGACGCCGCGUGAGGGAUGACGGCCU